AAGAAAUGUUAUAGCAUGAGUUACACACCGGAUCCCAUUAGAACUCUUAAGUGAAGGAUACUCGGCAAAGUAGUACUAGGAUGAGAGAACUCCAAAGUUAACCGUUCUUU
rnacentral:rRNA from 1 species